rnacentral:rRNA from 1 species
UACGUAGGGCGCAAGCGUUGUCCGGAAUUAUUGGGCGUAAAGAGCUCGUAGGCGGUCUGUCGCGUCGGAUGUGAAAAUCCAGGGCUCAACCCUGGACCUGCAUUCGAUACGGGCAGACUAGAGUUCGGCAGGGGAGACUGGAAUUCCUGGUGUAGCGGUGAAAUGCGCAGAUAUCAGGAGGAACACCGGUGGCGAAGGCGGGUCUCUGGGCCGUAACUGACGCUGAGGAGCGAAAGCGUGGGGAGCGAACAGG